rnacentral:lncRNA from 1 species
GUUUAGUCUGACCUGUUCAAAGUUCAACAUAGUACCUGUUUGUGUGUCAGAUAUCACCUAUCCCUAACUGCCAUUGGUAAUAGAACAGUGACUAUGUGUAACGUGUUCACUGAUGCAUGAGAUGAAGAGAGACCUGGCACUCAACACAUCCACAAUGAGGCGAUUACUGAUAAUACAGUACAGCACAAAUGUCCAGUAAUAGCAACAGCCCUUUUCAUUCCAUGUGUCACUGAUGAACUCUGUCUCAACUCUGCCUAUUUCUACAAGAUGGACUGGAGAUGCCCUUUCCAGACGGCAGCCUUAGUCGUUUGAUGGGGAGACCAUAAUUGGAAACAUCUAUGGAGCCAGGACAUGGAGACUUGCACGAUGAUUUUUUCCAGCUCUGACCAUUCUAACUGCCCUGACCUCGAGCCUGCCUGCCAUCCUGCACCUGCCUGACUCUGACCUGAUUAUGAACCUCAGCCUGCCCUGACCCCGAGCCUGCCUGCCAUCCCGUACGUGCCUGCUCUGACCUGAUUAUAAACCUCUGUCUGCCCUGACCCCGAGCCUGCCUGCCGUCCUGUACCUGCCUGACUCUGACCUGAUUAUGAACCUCUGCCUGUCCUCGACCUGUUCUUUGCCCCGUGCUCUAAUAAAUUAUUGAGAACUGUACUAUCCACCUCCUGUGUCUGCAUC